AGCAGCCGCGAUAAUUCCAGCUCCAAUAGCGUAUAUUAAAGUUGUUGCAGUUAAAAAGCUCGUAGUUGAAUUUUGGGAUUAGUACAUUGGUCGUGCCUUAGGUAUGUACUGGUGUUACUGGUUCCUCCUUCUGACGAACCAUCAUGUCAUUAAUUUGGUGUGGUGAGAAAUCAGGAUUGUUACUUUGAAAAAAUUAGAGUGUUUAAAGCAGGCUCAUGCUUGAAUACAUUAGCAUGGAAUAAUGAAAUAGGACGUUGACCCUAUUUUGUUGGUUUCUAGGAUUGACGUAAUGAUUAAUAGGGAUAGUUGGGGUCAUUAGUAUUCAAUUGUCAGAGGUGAAAUUCUUGGAUUUAUUGAAGACUAACUACUGCGAAAGCAUUUGCCAAGGAUGUUUUCAUUAAUCAAGAACGAAAGUUAGGGGAUCGAAGACGAUCAGAUAUCAUCGUAGUCUUAACCAUAAACUAUGCCGACUAGGGAUCGGAUGAUGUUAAUUUUUUAAUGACUCAUUCGGCGCCUUACGG
rnacentral:rRNA from 1 species